GUCCACUAUUGUGGCUAAUCCUUAUUGUGGCUAGCUUCACAUAGAUGGGUGCGACCACCAUUAAUCAAAUAAGAACUGUCUUAUAAAUGAGAGUUAUUUUAGAUGACACCUAGCUAUAUAGUUAGCUAGCUAACUAUAGCUACUGAAACAGAUUGUCGUGUUAUUUGACAUGUAUCUUUUUUGACAUGCAAAGGUCCAAACGGCAUUCCAUAGAAAUCCUGGUUGAGAAUGCAACGACUGAACAAAUGAACAACGAAACAGCACAGCAAGACCUGAGCCCUAGGACCAUGCCCCAGGACUACCUGACAUGAUGACUCCUUGCUGUCCCCAGUCCACCUGACUGUGCUGCUGCUCCAGUUUCAACUGUUCUGCCUUAUUAUUAUUCGACCAUGCUGGUCAUUUAUGAACAUUUGAACAUCUUGGUCAUGUUCUGUUAUAAUCUCUACCCGGCACAGCCAGAAGAGGACUGGCCACCCCACAUAGCCUGGUUCCUCUCUAGGUUUCUUCCUAGGUUUUGGCCUUUCUAAGGAGUUUUUCCUAGCCACCGUGCUUUUACACCUGCAUUGUUUGCUGUUUGGGGUUUUAGGCUGGGUUUCUGUACAGCACUUUGAGAUAUCAGCUGAUGUACGAAGGGCUAUAUAAAUAAAUUUGAUUUGAUUUGAUUUGAUCAGAAGCUUCAAAUGGCAUGACAUUUUCUGGAAUUUUCCAAGCUAUUUAAAGGCAGUCAAUCAAGUGUAUGUAAACUUCUGACCCACUGGAAUUGUGAUAGUGAAAUCAUGUCUGUAAAUAAUUGUUGGGAAAAUUA